GGAAGAGAUAACCUGGUAACAGAAGUAGCUCUCCUGGCUGGAGAUUGCAGGUCCUAAUUGGGAGAAGAAUGAAGACAUCCAUUGGACCUUUAUUCCUGUUCUUGUGGCUGCAGCUGAACUGUAUGAGGAGAGGAGAAAGUGUGGAGCAGCAUCCUUCUUUUCUGAGAACCUGGGAGGGAGACACCUGGGUCAUCAACUGUACUUACACAGACAGUGCCUCCACUGACUUCUAUUGGUACAAACAAGAACCUGGAAAAGGUCUGCAGUUGCUGAUACGUAGUUUUUCAAGUGAGGCCAAGAAACAAGAACAAAGACUCACUGUCUUAUUGGAUAAGAAGGAAAAACAUCUCUUCCUGAACAUCACAGCAGCCCAACCUGGGGACUCAGCAACCUACUUCUGUGCAACAGGAACACAGUGGUCCAUAGGCACCUGGAUCCUGUACCCAAACCUGAGACUGGGCUGAAGUCCCAGUC